UACGAAGGGGGCUAGCGUUGCUCGGAAUCACUGGGCGUAAAGGGUGCGUAGGCGGGUCUUUAAGUCAGGGGUGAAAUCCUGGAGCUCAACUCCAGAACUGCCUUUGAUACUGAAGAUCUUGAGUUCGGGAGAGGUGAGUGGAACUGCGAGUGUAGAGGAAAUUCGUAGAUAUUCGCAAGAACACCAGUGGCGAAGGCGGCUCACUGGCCCGAUACUGACGCUGAGGCACGAAAGCGUGGGGAGCAAACAGG
rnacentral:rRNA from 1 species